CGCCCACCGCGCGGAGGACAACUUUUAGCCGGCAGCCCAGACCAGCGCGGCACCUGUCUCCGGAGUCUCCACCGCUCCUCCCGAUUCAUCCCAGGGAAAUUCUCAAGAAUACGCUCUACAAAUCUACGUGCGCAUCAUUUUCACCUCGCGUCGCGCCCGGGAGGAAGGAACGAGGCAAGGAGCUAAAGCAGCGUGCGUUCAGCCCUGGGGCAUUUUAUUAAUGCUUUUACGAGUUAGAAGAGUUGGGAUAAUUUGCCAUCUGGAGUUUCUCUGCCUUGCUGAUCUGAGCUCAGACCUGCCAAUUUACCAGAGAUAAUUGAUAACACCCUGUAACAGCUGAGAGGAAAAUGGAAGAAACGGAGAUACUUUUAGUGAAGCAGAAUAAACCACUGAACAGGAAAAAUGAGGAAGCUGUGAGUACCAGUGGAAGGAACGAGCCAGGAAGAGGGACUGGAACCAUCUCAGAAGCCAUGCCCCUCAGGCUGGAACUUGCCCUGUCUCCUCGCAGAUGAGGUGCAGGUCUUCUGAACAAAUGCCUCCUGAGGAUUUCUGUGCCUGGAAAAUAUCUGUUAACAGACUGCUUUUACACCUACCUACCUGUAAGAAGAAUCAAGAUAAAGAAUUCAUGAAUGAUAAAAACACUUUGAAAAGACUGGUGGUUCCAUAAAAGCUGACUUUGUGCCUGGAACAUUGGAAGUGACCCGUCAGUGCUUACUGAAUGAAUAGGCAAAUGAACAAAACCUCCUGCAAUACAGCUUUCUUACCAUGCCUCAAGAGACUCUUCAGUCCAUCCUACUGUAGUUGCUUUUGAUUGGGUUCUCCCUGAGUACUGACCCUAGGCCCAGAUUCAGAGAUUUCUCCAAAAAAAGAGCUUCUUUCAAAGACAUCAUUCCUAUUGUCAACCCUGUUGGCAUAGACACAAAAUGUAAACGUUGGACAAAGGCAAUACUUGCUGUGACAAAGGCGAUAUUUGUUGUAACAAAACACAAAUGUCUGUCCAUCAGUGGGGAACGAGAAUGCUGGGAUUUGAAGAGGCCAAAAAAAUAAUACUGCUCUCUCUUUUGAGAAAGAGAGGGGAUUUUUUUUUUUUUUUUGAAAAGCCAUAAGCUUAGGACAGAUGAAAUUCAAAAUCCACACUAAACUUCACUGGAGAAUGUAAGCAAAAUAUGAGGCCACAGGUGAGCUUUCUAUUUCCUUCCUCCACUCUCCAAGAUGGCCCAUUGAUAUUUGGCUGUGUCCCCAAAUCUCAUCUUGAAUUGUAGUUCCUGUAAUCCCCAUGUGUCAUGGGAGGGAUCCAGUGGGAGGUAAUUGAAUCAUGGGAGCAGUUACUCCCUUGCUGUUCUGUGAUAGUGAAUGAGAUCUCAUGAGAUCUGAUGGUUUUAUAAGGGCCUUUUUCCCCUUUGCUUGGCACUUCUCCGUCCUGCCAUCAUGUGAAGAGGGAUGUGUUUGCUUCCCCUUCUGCCAUGAUUGUAAGUUUCCUGAGGCCUCCCCAACCAUGUGGAACUGUGAGUCAAUUAAACCUCUUUCUUUCAUAAGUUA
ensembl:lncRNA LINC-PINT long intergenic non-protein coding RNA, p53 induced transcript